rnacentral:rRNA from 1 species
UCCAAUCGAACCCGGAGAUAGCUGGUUCUCCUCGAAAUAGCUUUAGGGCUAGCCUCAUGGAUCAUUGAUGGGGGUAGAGCACUGAAUGUGCGCGGGGGCCACAAAGCCUACCAAACGCUAUCAAACUUCGAAUACCAUACAAUGCAGACCAUGGGAGUCAGUCCGCGAGAGAUAAGUUCCGCGGGCAAAAGGGGAACACCCCAGAUCAACCGCUAAGGUCCCCAAGUUCACGUUAAGUGGAGAAGGAUGUGGAAUUGCACAGACAACCAGGAUGUUGGCUCAGAAGCAGCCACACAUUUAAAGAGUGCGUAAUAGCUCACUGGUCGAGUGAUUGUGCGCCGAAGAUGUCCGGGGCUAAACGUGACACCGAAGCGAUGGGUGCAUCAGAAAUGAUGCGCGGUAGAGGAGCAAUGUGCAGAGGCAGAAGCCGUAUCGAGAGGCACGGUGGACACUGCACAAGAGAGAAUGCCGGUAUGAGUAGCGAGAGGCAUGCGAGAAACAUGCCCGUCGAAAGCCCAAGGUUUCCUGGGGAAGGUUCAUCCGCCCAGGGUAAGUCGGGGCCUAAGCCGAGGACGGAAGUCGUAGGCGAUGGACAGCAGGUGUAGAUUCCUGCACUACCGAUGGAAUGAAGCAGUGACACAGAAGGAUAACUCGAGCAGGGUGAUGGUCAACCCUGUGCAAGCAUCAAGGUUGGGUUGUAGUGAAGUACGCAAUCCUAAAAGCUGAGGUGUGAUGCGGACCGAAAUUUCAGUAGGGAAGCGAGUGAGUUCACGCUGGCGAGAAAAGCUGCUAGUACAUCCAAAGGUACCCGUACCGGAAACCGACGCAGGUGGGCGAGGAGAGAAUCCUGAGACGAACGGGAGAACCCUUGUUAAGGAACUCGGCAAAAUGACCCCGUAACUUCGGGAUAAGGGGUGCCUGCGAGAGCAGGCCGCAGAGAAUAGUCACAAGCGACUGUUUAGCAAAAACACAGGUAUCUGCGAAAGCGAGAGCUGACGUAUAGGUGCUGACACCUGCCCGGUGCUGGAAGGUUAAGGGAACAUGUUAGAGCAAUCGAAGCAUCGAACCGAAGCCCCAGUAAACGGCGGCCGUAACUAUAACGGUCCUAAGGUAGCGAAAUUCCUUGUCGGGUAAGUUCCGACCCGCACGAAUGGUGUAACGAUUUGGGUACUGUCUCAACAAGGGACCCGGCGAAAUUGUAGUAUGUGUGAAGAUGCACAUUACCCGCGAUAGGACGGAAAGACCCCGUAGAGCUUUACUGUAGUUUAACAUUGGAUUCCGGUAACAUAUGCACAGGAUAGGUGGGAGGCGGAGAAGCAGUGAUUUCGGUUGCUGCAGAGCCGACGUUGGGAUACCACUCUUGUGUUACUGGGGUUCUAACCUGUGGCCGUGAUCCGGCACAGGAACAGUGUUAGAUGGGCAGUUUGACUGGGGCGGUCGCCUCCAAAAGAGUAACGGAGGCGUCCAAAGGUUCCCUCAGAAUGGUUGGAAACCAUUCGAAGAGUACAAAGGCAGAAGGGAGCCUGACUGCGAGACCGACAGGUCGAGCAGGGACGAAAGUCGGGCUUAGUGAUCCGGCGGUAUAGAGUGGAAUUGCCGUCGCUCAACGGAUAAAAGCUACCUCGGGGAUAACAGGCUUAUCUCCCCCAAGAGUCCACAUCGACGGGGAGGUUUGGCACCUCGAUGUCGGCUCGUCGCAUCCUGGGGCUGGAUUAGGUCCCAAGGGUUUGGCUGUUCGCCAAUUAAAGCGGCACGCGAGCUGGGUUCAGAACGUCGUGAGACAGUUCGGUCCCUAUCCAUCGUGGGCGCAGGAGAUUUGAGAAGAGCUGUCCUCAGUACGAGAGGACCGGGAUGGACGCACCAAGGGUGUAUCAGUUGUCACGCCAGUGGCACAGCUGGGUAGCCAAGUGCGGAUCGGAUAAACGCUGAAGGCAUCUAAGCGUGAAGCCGACUUCAAGAUAAGAUCUCCCAUCCGCAAGGAGUAAGGCCCCAUGUAGACCACAUGGUUGAUAGGUCGCAGGUGGAAGUGCAGUAAUGUACGCAGCUGAGCGAUACUAAUAGGCCGAGGGCUUGAUCAA